GCGGGAGAGGGUCGCCCGCGCGCUGUGCACGAGUGUGCGCACGUUACCAGGUGUAGGUUGUGCGCACAGUGUGCACGACCAAUUCGCGCGAGGCAUGGGGCUAGUUCUGUGUGCGCAUCUUGUCGUGCACAGACAAGCCCAUCCACCCGCGUCACAUCUUGCGUGAACAGGGUUAGGCUCCGCACAUUGUAUGCGCGUCGUCCGCGCAACAGACCUACAGAGAUAGGCCUAGACGCGUGCAGGCUAGCUCUUGCCCACGGCAGGGGAGGCCAGCACCUGUAAGCUAGGCCUGCAUCGCAUGCUGGCUGGGUGAGGCGCACUCUCUAAAUCACUUAUGUUAUACAUGCAAUUUAACAACUUCAUAGACGAUCAUAAAACAUGCAUUAACAUGUAAAAUUACUUUGUUUAGGCAUAAAAAUUAAUCAUAAAAUCAUUAAUUUUAACUUUAUUAAUUUUACUCUACAAAUACUCCUUAAGUCAUUUAAAAGUAAAUACUAAAUUCCUUACUGAAAUCUU
rnacentral:lncRNA from 1 species